rnacentral:rRNA from 1 species
GCUCAGGACGAACGCUGGCGGCGUGCCUAAUGCAUGCAAGUCGAACGCAGCAGGCGUGCCUGGCUGCGUGGCGAACGGCUGAGGAACACGUGGGUGACCUGCCCCGGAGUGGGGGAUACCCCGUCGAAAGACGGGACAAUCCCGCAUACGCUCGACGGAGGAAAGCCGCAAGGCGCUCUGGGAGGGGCCUGCGGCCCAUCAGGUAGUUGGUGUGGUAACGGCGCACCAAGCCAAUGACGGGUACCCGGUCUGAGAGGACGACCGGGCAGACUGGGACUGAGACACGGCCCAGACUCCUACGGGAGGCAGCAGCAAGGAAUUUUCCCCAAUGGGCGCAAGCCUGAGGGAGCAACGCCGCGUGGAGGACGACGGCCUUCGGGUUGUAAACUCCUUUCGGGUGGGACGAUGCUGACGGUACCACCAGAAGCAGCCCCGGCUAACUCUGUGCCAGCAGCCGCGGUAAGACAGAGGGGGCAAGCGUUGUCCGGAGUUACUGGGCGUAAAGGGCGCGCAGGCGGUGGGCUGCGUCGGCGCUGAAAGCGCCCCGCUUAACGGGGCGAGGCGCGCCGAUACGAGUCCACUCGAGGCAAGCAGAGGGUGGCGGAAUUCCGGGUGGAGCGGUGAAAUGCGUAGAGAUCCGGAGGAACGCCGGUGGGGAAGCCGGCCACCUGGGCUUGACCUGACGCUGCGGCGCGACAGCGUGGGGAGCAAACCGGAUUAGAUACCCGGGUAGUCCACGCCGUAAACGAUGCCGGCUCGGCGUCUGGCGCACGUUGGUGUGCUGGGUGCCUUAGCUCACGCGGUAAGCCGGCCGCCUGGGGACUACGAGCGCAAGCUUAAAACUCAAAGGAAUUGACGG